UCCCGGCAGCCCGCGCGAGGACUCCCCUCCCUCGGCCUCGGGCCUAGCGACGCAGGGGACGCGUUUUUGCCAGCGUCGCCUUAGGGAGCCAAUGAGAGGGACAGGCGUCCGGAGUUUGUGACGUCACGGCGCGGGGACUGUGAGCCUCGACUGAGAUAUGGACUGUACCCGAUCUGCUGAAAAUAUGGAUCAGAUCCAAAAAGAAAACUUUUGACUCAUCUCUCUGAAAUGACAGACAACUUCAGAAGCACUGGAAGCACUAUCUAAUCAAUCAAUUAAU